CCAAGAUGGCGGACCCAGAAGAUGAACUUCCGCAAUGCUCACUCAGAAUUACCUCCGAUGGACAGGCUUUGCGAUGCCAGAACAGUAGGUGGCGGUAUGCACCUAAACUUUCUUGCGGCAAAAUUUACAGAAGAAGAACUUUCAGGAAGUUUGAAAAUAGCAAGCCGUCCGCAUUCAUUCAAUCUCACCUCCGACCCACUCAAACUAACCCUAACCCUGCAUUCCAUUGUUUCCAUUAUAGGAAAUCUAAGUGACGCUCUCAAAUUAACAGGAGCAUUGCGCAGAAGAUAUGUCCUGGGCAAUGGAAUGAGAAAACGGGCAGAGAUUUAGAGGUAUUUGUGCAUGCUCUAUAUUACAGUUGAAAAAUGUAUGUGACAAGAUGAUUAACGUUUGCUUAUGUUAAAUCAGGGCUUCCCCAGCCAGGACUUCGGCUCAGACUGUGGCAUAUUCAUGUUGAUGGUAGGUCAUAACGAGCUGUAAUGCACAAAUAUUGUAGUAUCUAGAAUAACUUUACAACUUUUUUAAAGUUAUCUCACAUGUUGUCUCAUAAUUUUUUUUAAGUCUGCCAUGUACAUUGUUAUGGAGUCACAGUUUGACUACUCAGUUGUAAGUACUUUUCAACACGCAGUGUCAUCCUCAAGGUUGUAUUUUGUAUUGUGCACUAAAAUGAAAUACAAACAACAAUUUCAGCAUGACAUGCCUGUUUUGCGGAGAUGGUGGUGCCUGUUGCUCUUAAAAAACAAUGCUUUGAACAGGUAGACAGUUUAAGU